CUCUCACAUUGAUGCUUAUAUGAUAUGUUCGUACUUCCAUUAAUAUGGAAUCCUCAUUAGAGUUCUCAUUACAAUUACUCAGUUAUCAGAUUAUAGUUACUAUAUUCUCCAAUGGGAUGUUAGGUGGUACGUUAAUUGGAGUUACAUGUUCGUGACUAUGUCUAAACCUGUCACACAUUCUCUUUUCAGUAUGAUUCGUCUCUGAAGAUAAUUGGCAGUUCACGUGAAACUAUUGGAGAUUUUAUCCUUCGGAUUUGUCUCAACCCUGAACUCUUUUUCGUUGUUCGUAUAGAAUUCUUUGGAAGUUUGCUCCUUCGCACAUGGGAACUUGGAGUUAUUAUUAGUUUUAUUGUUUGC